UUUUUUGAGACAGUGUCUCAUUCCAUCACCCAGGAACACCUUGGCUCAUUGCAACUUCUGACCCGGCCUAGAUUAAAGUAACAAAGCCAUAUUAUUGAGGGAUAGAAGCUAGAAGUAGAGAUAGCUGCUGAAGUAUGACAGGAUGGGAAGGAGCCUGCCUGAGAUAUCAAGAAAGAAUUAACACAGUCAGGCAACUCAUGGGAAAUGUCCUCUUUAAGCCUUCUUAGCAUUUCGGUUAUGCUGAUGUCACCAUACUUUUUGCUUUUUCACUAAUGGACUACAAGCUUCAUGAAGGACUCGAGCAUAUCUGAUUUGUUUCUUGUUUGUCAUUCUUUCUCAUAUGUAUAUUUGCAUAUAUUUGAAUGAAUGAAUGGUUAUCAGGUCACUGGCUAUGUAGAAUUGUAGCUCAGGGCUAUUUAAAGGGACAGAUAAUUUAAUGUUCAAAAUUAUUUGUUAGAGCAAAUUUAUUUUGGGAGAGUAUUAUAGCGACAGUGUUCUAGUAACAAACAAUAUGUAAAAACAGUAAAAAAAAGAAAGAUUUUAAUAUCUGUAAGAACGGUAAAAAAAUAUAGAUUUCAAUAUCUUUUAAGAGAUGAACAAACUAUUCAAUCCCAUUCACUGCAAGAAAAGCAUAGUCAUUUUUUGAUUUUUAUUUACUAAAUAAAACCGCAUCUUAAUUUGCUUUGAGUUUCUGAAUCUUCAACUGCUGUAGUUUGAGGAUCCAAAAUUUUAAUAGCAAAAGUGGCUUAUCUGCACAGACAUGUUCAGAGAACCAAAGAGAAGGAUCAGACACUUUGAAGUCAUAGCAUCCUUUUACACUUAGUUGUACACUAGGGUGUACUAAUCCACAAUUUCUUCUCCUUCUUAAAGAACAAAGAAGCUGACAGAAACAGCUCUCUAGGAUUAGUUCACAAUUACCUUAUUUCUCAGAUGUUUUUUUAAAAAACAGAGUAAAACAUACAUUUCUAAAACACAGAUGGCUAAAAAAGAGAUUAAUCUGUAGAAGUGUAGAGUAAGGAAUUGGCAUUUAUUCCUGUCUUCCAUAGCAUAAUUUCAGGAAAAGCCAAGUAAAUCAUUCAAGGUCUCUUCUGAAGGCCAUUAUAUUUUAAAUAACUGAUUAGGGCCAAGACUCGGUACUUUUAAGAAUCAUGAGAUUCUCAAAAUAUUUUUAAAUGGGUG
rnacentral:lncRNA from 1 species